rnacentral:rRNA from 1 species
GACGAACGCUGGCGGCGUGCCUAACACAUGCAAGUCGAACGAGAAUCUUUGGAAUGAUUCUUUCGGGAUGAAUUCUAAAGAGGAAAGUGGCGGACGGGCGAGUAACGCGUGAGUAACCUGCCCAUAAGAGGGGGAUAAUCCAUGGAAACGUGGACUAAUACCGCAUAUUGUAGUUAAGUUGCAUGACUUGAUUAUGAAAGAUUUAUCGCUUAUGGAUGGACUCGCGUCAGAUUAGAUAGUUGGUGAGGUAACGACUCACCAAGUCAACGAUCUGUAGCCGAACUGAGAGGUUGAUCGGCCGCAUUGGGACUGAGACACGGCCCAGACUCCUACGGGAGGCAGCAGUGGGGAAUAUUGCGCAAUGGGGGCAACCCUGACGCAGCAACGCCGCGUGCAGGAAGAAGGUCUUCGGAUUGUAAACUGUUGUCGCAAGGGAAGAAGAC